rnacentral:rRNA from 1 species
GACGAACGCUGGCGGCGUGCUUAACACAUGCAAGUCGAACGGAAAGGCCCUGCUUUUGUGGGGUGCUCGAGUGGCGAACGGGUGAGUAACACGUGAGUAACCUGCCCUUGACUUUGGGAUAACUUCAGGAAACUGGGGCUAAUACUGGAUAGGAGCUCCUGCUGCAUGGUGGGGGUUGGAAAGUUUCGGCGGUUGGGGAUGGACUCGCGGCUUAUCAGCUUGUUGGUGGGGUAGUGGCUUACCAAGGCUUUGACGGGUAGCCGGCCUGAGAGGGUGACCGGCCACACUGGGACUGAGAUACGGCCCAGACUCCUACGGGAGGCAGCAGUGGGGAAUAUUGCACAAUGGGCGGAAGCCUGAUGCAGCAACGCCGCGUGCGGGAUGACGGCCUUCGGGUUGUAAACCGCUUUCGCCUGUGACGAAGCGUGAGUGACGGUAAUGGGUAAAGAAGCACCGGCUAACUACGUG